AAGCAAAACAUCGGAGGGAAUUCCUUUUUAAAGAAGCCUGGCAAGUUAGCAUCACCAUCAAGAUACUGUAAACCUAAUGAAUGAUGUGGAGAGGAGCAGUGUGAGAAGAAUGCCUGUUUCAUAAUGCGAGAACACACAUCCUGAAACGGAGAGGUGAGCCCUUGAAGUCAAAGGCGGUGGCAACAUGAAAACAUGAAUGAGGAAGUAUUGGACCGUGACCAUGAUGAACCUGAUGAUCCUGGCCUGGAUACUAUUCCUGUUCUCCAUCGUGAAGACCACCAAUAAUCGGGCCUAUCGGGUUUUUAAUUACACCUGGGUUAUUCAAAAUCAUGCUGGAGAUAUAGUUAAUUUCAGCUCCAAAAUUGAUGCCAAGCCCCAUUGGCCCGAUCUAGAAGUAGAUGUCUGUGUCCUUGCACUUGGUGCAGACGCUGCCUGGGGCACACCCUCAUACUUUUCCCCUCAAUCUAAGCCUAUUAAUAGCCCUGAUUCUCAUUAUACUGGACAUAAUGAGGCUUGUAAUUCAUAUAUUGAACGAGCCUCUCUGGCUGAUCAUGCCAGUGGAUUUUAUGUGUGUCCAGGAAAACAUUAUGAUAAAUCUCUCCAGUAUAAAUGUGGAUAUCAUGAUUCAUAUUUUUGUAAGUCAUGGAGCUGUGAAACUACAGGAGAUGCACAUUGGAAACC
rnacentral:lncRNA from 1 species